CCCUUAGAUGUUCUGGGCCGCACGCGCGCUACACUGAUGCAUUCAACGAGCCUAUCCUUGACCGACAGGUCCGGGUAAUCUUUGAAUCUGCAUCGUGACGGGGAUAGAUUAUUGCAAUUAUUAAUCUUCAACGAGGAAUGCCUAGUAGGCGCAAGUCAUCAGCUUGCGUCGAUUACGUCCCUGCCCUUUGUACACACCGCCCGUCGCUCCUACCGAUUGAGCAUCCCGGUGAAGACUCAAGAGAUGUGCGUGCGGCUGGUUUCCAGCUGCGCCGCGCGUCGAAUUUGUCUAAACCUUGAUGCUUAGAGGAAGGAGAAGUCGUAACA
rnacentral:rRNA from 1 species